GAAAUGCUUGUUUUUUUCAUUUGGUGGACGUGUUCUUUGAAUGCGCUCAUCGGAUGGAAACAUCAUUUCCUGGCUUUUGUCGUCCCUCGUCCAGCCUCACGGCCGGGCUUGGGUGGCAAUUGCCGGAUAACCGGGAAGAGGCCUUGUGCCUCGACCCACUAUCUACACCUUUUUAGUCUGAACCUCUUCAGCGAAAGCGAGAGCAAUCUUACUUUCAAUGAUAAAAAUUAAAAUUAAAA
rnacentral:misc_RNA from 1 species